rnacentral:rRNA from 1 species
UACGGGGGGGGGCAAGCGUUGUUCGGAAUUACUGGGCGUAAAGGGCUCGUAGGCGGCCAACUAAGUCGGAUGUGAAAUCCCCAGGCUCAACCUGGGAACUGCAUCCGAUACUGGAUGGCUUGAAUUCGGGAGAGGGAUGCAGAAUUCCAGGUGUAGCGGUGAAAUGCGUAGAGAUCGGGAGGAACACCAGUGGCGAAGGCGGCUCGCUGGGCCGGUCCUGACACUGAGGCGCGAAGGCGUGGGGAGCGAACGGG